UAGGGAAUCUUCCGCAAUGGACGAAAGUCUGACGGAGCAACGCCGCGUGAGUGAUGAAGGUUUUCGGAUCGUAAAACUCUGUUGUUAGGGAAGAACAAGUACGAGAGUAACUGCUCGUACCUUGACGGUACCUAACCAGAAAGCCACGGCUAACUACGUGCCAGCAGCCGCGGUAAUACGUAGGUGGCAAGCGUUGUCCGGAAUUAUUGGGCGUAAAGCGCGCGCAGGCGGUCCUUUAAGUCUGAUGUGAAAGCCCACGGCUCAACCGUGGAGGGUCAUUGGAAACUGGGGGACUUGAGUGCAGGAGAGAAGAGUGGAAUUCCACGUGUAGCGGUGAAAUGCGUAGAGAUGUGGAGGAACACCAGUGGCGAAGGCGACUCUUUGGCCUGUAACUGACGCUGAGGCGCGAAAGCGUGGGGAGCAAACAGGAUUAGAUACCCCCGUAGUCC
rnacentral:rRNA from 1 species